rnacentral:lncRNA from 1 species
CUGCGCGCGGGCUUCCCCCCUCGGUCUGCGGCCUGCCGUGGGGUCCUCCCGGUGGGCGUUCUCGUGUUCUCUCCUGGCAGGGAGGGGUUGAAAUUUAGGCUCUGGCUGGUGAAUUUGUGCGUGAUUGGACCUGGAGAUAACGCGUUUUUGUGCUGGCUGCGCCCAGCAUGCGUUUCCUGGGUGACGGGAGCAGAGGCAGGCCUACUGGGCGCUGCUGUGCCUUCGUGCUCGGAGGAGGUGGCGCCCAGCCGGGUGGAAGGGCGGCAUCGCUGUGGGCACUGUGGGACUGGAGCAGAAGUCCAAGAGAGUAAAAAGUCCAUGUAAGCAGAAGAGAUGCUUCCUUACUGGAAUGGUCCACGUCUCCUCUGCCAUUCUCCCAGGAAGGGCUCAUCUCCCUCUGUCCAUCUGUUGCAGCACUCCAACAGGGUGAGCUGUCCCACCACAGAGUGCUUUCAUGAAAAUAGCUUGUUGCAUGCGCUCUUGUUUGAACACGUAAGCCU